rnacentral:rRNA from 1 species
CUUGACCUCGGAUCAGGUAGGGAUACCCGCUGAACUUAAGCAUAUCAAUAAGCGGAGGAAAAGAAACCAACAGGGAUUGCCCUAGUAACGGCGAGUGAAGCGGCAACAGCUCAAAUUUGAAAUCUGGCGUCUUCGGCGUCCGAGUUGUAAUUUGCAGAGGGCGCUUUGGCAUUGGCAGCGGUCCAAGUUCCUUGGAACAGGACGUCACAGAGGGUGAGAAUCCCGUACGUGGUCGCUAGCCUUUACCGUGUAAAGCCCCUUCGACGAGUCGAGUUGUUUGGGAAUGCAGCUCUAAAUGGGAGGUAAAUUUCUUCUAAAGCUAAAUACUGGCCAGAGACCGAUAGCGCACAAGUAGAGUGAUCGAAAGAUGAAAAGCACUUUGGAAAGAGAGUUAAAAAGCACGUGAAAUUGUUGAAAGGGAAGCGCUUGCAGCCAGACUUGCCUGUAGUUGCUCAUCCGGGUUUCUACCCGGUGCACUCUUCUAUAGGCAGGCCAGCAUCAGUUUGGGCGGUUGGAUAAAGGUCUCUGUCAUGUACCUCUCUUCGGGGAGAACUUAUAGGGGGAGACGACAUGCAACCAGCCUGGACUGAGGUCCGCGCAUCUGCUAGGAUGCUGGCGUAAUGGCUGUAAGCGGC